rfam:Dipodomys ordii contig_68386, whole genome shotgun sequence.
GGUGGCUCAGUGGUAAAGUGCUUGCCUUGCAUGCAUGAGGCCUUGGGUUCGAUUCCUCAGCACCA